AAGUCGUAACAAGGUUUCCGUAGGUGAACCUGCGGAAGGAUCAUUAUCGUAGGGGGCUAUGCCCCUGUAAGGAUGUAGGCCAGCCCGUGUGAGGGCUCAUUUGGUGGAUCAGAAAUCGGUUGUCUAGGUGCGCUUCUCCUGUCAGACCCGGCGGGCGUGGAACUCCAGGCGACUCUUAUUCGCAAAUGAUGCUUGUUGCGCGCCUGGCUGUACAACUCUAUAACCCUUGUGUAUGAGUACUCUGUUUCCUCGGCAGGCUUGCCUGUCAAUGGGGACCCUAUUUAACCCUUUUUUAUAUUCUGGUAACCGUAACAAACAAACAAUCAAAACUUUCAACAACGGAUCUCUUGGUUCUG
rnacentral:misc_RNA from 1 species